GCGUAGUUCGGAAUUACUGGGCUUAAAGAGUUCGUAGGUGGUUAAAAAAGUUGGUGGUGAAAUCCCAGAGCUUAACUCUGGAACUGCCAUCAAAACUUUUUAGCUAGAGUAUGAUAGAGGAAAGCAGAAUUUCUAGUGUAGAGGUGAAAUUCGUAGAUAUUAGAAAGAAUACCGAUUGCGAAGGCAGCUUUCUGGAUCAUUACUGACACUGAGGAACGAAAGCAUGGGUAGCGAAGAGGAUUAGAUACCCUCGUAGUCCAUGCCGUAAACGAUGUGUGUUAGACGUUGGAAAUUUAUUUUCAGUGUCGCAGCGAAAGCAAUAAACACACCGCCUGGGGAGUACGACCGCAAGGUUAAAACUCAAAUGAAUUGACGGGGACCCGCACAAGUAGUGGAGCAUGUGGUUUAAUUCGAAGAUACGCGCAGAACCUUACCAACACUUGACAUGUUCGUCGCGACUUUAAGAGAUUAAAGUUUUCGGUUCGGCCGGACGAAACACAGGUGCUGCAUGGCUGUCGUCAGCUCGUGUCGUGAGAUGUUGGGUUAAGUCCCGCAACGAGCGCAACCCUUACUUUUAGUUGCCAUCAUUUAGUUGGGCACUCUGAAAGAACUGCCAGUGAUAAGCUGGAGGAAGGUGGGGAUGACGUCAAGUCCUCAUGGCCCUUACGUGUUGGGCUACACACGUGCUACAAUGGUAUUUACAACAGGAUGCAAGACGGCGACGUUUAGCAAAUCCUAAAAAGAUACCUCAGUUCGGAUUGCACUCUGCAACUCGAGUGCAUGAAGCUGGAAUUACUAGUAAUCGUGGAUCAGCGUGCCACGGUGAAUGCGUUCCCGGGUCUUGUACACACCGCCCGUCACACCAUGGGAGUUGGUUCUACCUUAA
rnacentral:rRNA from 1 species